rnacentral:rRNA from 1 species
UGGCAGCAGUGGGGAAUAUUGCACAAUGGAGGAAACUCUGAUGCAGCCAUGCCGCGUGUGUGAAGAAGGCUUUCGGGUUGUAAAGCACUUUCAGCGAGGAGGAAAGGGUAAUGGUUAAUAACCAUUAUCUGUGACGUUACUCGCAGAAGAAGCACCGGCUAACUCCGUGCCAGCAGCCGCGGUAAUACGGAGGGUGCGAGCGUUAAUCGGAAUUACUGGGCGUAAAGCGCGCGUAGGCGGUUAAUUAAGUCAGAUGUGAAAGCCCAGGGCUCAACCUUGGAACUGCAUUUGAAACUGGUUAACUAGAGUUUUGUAGAGGGUGGUAGAAUUUCAGGUGUAGCGGUGAAAUGCGUAGAGAUCUGAAGGAAUACCAGUGGCGAAGGCGGCCACCUGGACAAUAACUGACGCUGAGGCGCGAAGGCGUGGGGAGCAAACGGGAUUAGAUACCCGUGUAGUC